rnacentral:rRNA from 1 species
ACGAACGCUGGCGGCGUGCUUAACACAUGCAAGUCGAACGGUGAAGCUCCAGCUUGCUGGAGUGGAUCAGUGGCGAACGGGAGAGUAACACGUGAGCAACCUGCCCCUGACUCUGGAAUAAGCGCUGGAAACGGCGUCUAAUACUGGAUACGAGAAGGGUCCGCAUGGGCACUUUCUGGAAAGUUUUUCGGUUGGGGAUGGGCUCGCGGCCUAUCAGCUUGUUGGUGAGGUAAUGGCUCACCAAGGCGACGACGGGUAGCCGGCCUGAGAGGGCGACCGGCCACACUGGGACUGAGACACGGCCCAGACUCCUACGGGAGGCAGCAGUGGGGAAUAUUGCACAAUGGGCGAAAGCCUGAUGCAGCGACGCCGCGUGAGGGAUGACGGCCUUCGGGUUGUAAACCUCUUUCAGCAGGGAAGAAGCGAAAGUGACGGUACCUGCAGAAGAAGCACCGGCUAACUACGUG